GUAGUCGUUGCCGAGUGGUAAAGGUGAUGGACUAGAAAUCCAUUAGGUUCUACUUGUUAGGUUCGAAUCCUAAUGACUACG